rnacentral:tRNA from 1 species
CAGGGUAUAACUUAACUUAAAGUCUUUCGCUUACACCGAAACUAUAUUUGUGAAAACCAAAUUUCCCUGA